rnacentral:lncRNA from 1 species
UCUCUUACAUUAUUAAACAGUCUCCAUAUUCUCAAUUGUUUAUUGAGAAUAAAACAAUAUUUUGUAACAACUGUUAUCAUGUAAACUGCUGCACAUGUGUUAUUUGUUGUUUUUAAAAAUAAAAGAAUAAAGACUUCUUUUCUUCUUAUAUUGUUGCUUAAUUUUUGGGGAAGAGUAGUGUUGUGGUUUCCAUAUAUUUAAGCCACUACAUUGGUGAUCACCUGUUACAACAACAAUAGGGAACUAACACAGUGACAGAUGCUAUCUUCGUUCAGCUAGGCUGGAGCAUCUGCAAGUCUCUUUUUUUUUUUUUUUUUAAUGCCAGUGAACUUUUUCCAUCAUUACUGGUUUCCAAGUAACUCAGAGAAACGUUUUGAAGUAAAAAUCCCUGCACAUGAUUACCCACUCUGUAACCUCCUGGCUAUAUGACUUUAUGCUAGUCUUUUUCUAUUUUGCAGCUAAAUGUCUCUAAGCACAGAUAUACAUUUCUUGCCCUGUCACCAGGCUGGAAUGCAGCAGUACAAUCUCGGCUCACUGAAACCUCUGCCUCCUGGGUUCAAGCGAUUCUCCUGCCUCAACCUCCCAAGCAGCUGGGACUACAGGUACAUGCCACCACACCCAAGUAAUUUUUGUAU